GAUAAAAUUGGAUAGCGGGUAGCUAUUUGGUUAUUCAUAGAAGAUUAGCAUGGCCCCUGCGCAAGGAUGACACGCACAAAUCAAAGUGAAAAAGUUUAA